GCCUUAAUGCGGCUCAUCCGCUGGAUGAACGGUCACAAGCCCGAUAACGCAGAGUGAGGA
rnacentral:ribozyme from 2 species